GACGAACGCUGGCGGCGUGCUUAACACAUGCAAGUCGAACGGAAAGGCCCUGCUUUUGUGGGGUGCUCGAUUGGCGAACGGGUGAGUAACACGUGAGUAACCUGCCCUUGACUUUGGGAUAACUUCAGGAAACUGGGGCUAAUACCGGAUAGGAGCUCCUGCUGCAUGGUGGGGGUUGGAAAGUUUCGGCGGUUGGGGAUGGACUCGCGGCUUAUCAGCUUGUUGGUGGGGUAGUGGCUUACCAAGGCUUUGACGGGUAGCCGGCCUGGGAGGGUGACCGGCCACAUUGGGCCUGAGAUACGGCCCAGACUCCUACGGGAGGCAGCAGUGGGGAAUAUUGCACAAUGGGCGGAAGCCUGAUGCAGCAACGCCGCGUGCGGGAUGACGGCCUUCGGGUUGUAAACCGCUUUCGCCUGUGACGAAGCGUGAGUGACGGUAAUGGGUAAAGAAGCACCGGCUAACUACGUG
rnacentral:rRNA from 1 species